CACGGCUCUGGAGAAUCCCGGCUGACCGGGUGCCGAAGGUGUAAAGCGGGAGUCCCGCCAAUCUCUCAGGCAAAAGGACAGAGCGGAAA
rnacentral:ncRNA from 1 species